AGAGUUUGAUCAUGGCUCAGGAUGAACGCUGGCGGCGUGCCUAAUACAUGCAAGUCGAGCGAACGGACGAGAAGCUUGCUUCUCUGAUGUUAGCGGCGGACGGGUGAGUAACACGUGGAUAACCUACCUAUAAGACUGGGAUAACUUCGGGAAACCGGAGCUAAUACCGGAUAAUAUUUUGAACCGCAUGGUUCAAAAGUGAAAGACGGUCUUGCUGUCACUUAUAGAUGGAUCCGCGCUGCAUUAGCUAGUUGGUAAGGUAACGGCUUACCAAGGCAACGAUGCAUAGCCGACCUGAGAGGGUGAUCGGCCACACUGGAACUGAGACACGGUCCAGACUCCUACGGGAGGCAGCAGUAGGGAAUCUUCCGCAAUGGGCGAAAGCCUGACGGAGCAACGCCGCGUGAGUGAUGAAGGUCUUCGGAUCGUAAAACUCUGUUAUUAGGGAAGAACAUAUGUGUAAGUAACUGUGCACAUCUUGACGGUACCUAAUCAGAAAGCCACGGCUAACUACGUGCCAGCAGCCGCGGUAAUACGUAGGUGGCAAUCGUUAUCCGGAAUUAUUGGGCGUAAAGCGCGCGUAGGCGGUUUUUUAAGUCUGAUGUGAAAGCCCACGGCUCAACCGUGGAGGGUCAUUGGAAACUGGAAAACUUGAGUGCAGAAGAGGAAAGUGGAAUUCCAUGUGUAGCGGUGAAAUGCGCAGAGAUAUGGAGGAACACCAGUGGCGAAGGCGACUUUCUGGUCUGUAACUGACGCUGAUGUGCGAAAGCGUGGGGAUCAAACAGGAUUAGAUACCCUGGUAGUCC
rnacentral:rRNA from 1 species